rnacentral:rRNA from 1 species
UACGUAGGGGGCAAGCGUUGUCCGGAAUUAUUGGGCGUAAAGCGCGCGCAGGCGGCCUUGUAAGUCUGUUGUUUAAACUCGGGGCUCAACCCCGAGUCGCAAGGGAAACUGCAAAGCUUGAGUACAGAAGAGGAAAGUGGAAUUCCACGUGUAGCGGUGAAAUGCGUAGAGAUGUGGAGGAACACCAGUGGCGAAGGCGACUUUCUGGGCUGUAACUGACGCUGAGGCGCGAAAGCGUGGGGAGCAAACAGG